UUGCAGCCAAUUAAGCCGACCAGUUUCCUUUACUCAUAGGGACCUGGUGUGCAGUGACUGCAGACAGCAGCCUCCUUGGUAGUGUAUGCAGCCUGUUGUUUGUGUAGGUUGCUCUAAGGGACCUUGGAAACAGGU
ensembl:snoRNA SNORA70 Small nucleolar RNA SNORA70